AUUGAACGCUGGCGGCAGGCCUAACACAUGCAAGUCGAACGAGUGGCGGACGGGUGAGUAAUGUCUGGGAAAAUGCCUGGUGGAGGGGGAUAACUACUGGAAAGGGUAGCUAAUACCGCAUACCAUCGGAUGUGCCCAGAUGGGAUUAGCUAGUAGGUGGGGUAAAGGCUCACCAAGGCGACGAUCCCUAGCUGGUCUGAGAGGAUGACCAGCCACACUGGGACUGAGACACGGCCCAGACUCCUACGGGAGGCAGCAGUGGGGAAUCUUGCACAAUGGGCGCAAGCCUGAUGCAGCCAUGCCGCGUGUAUGAAGAAGGCCUUCGGGUUGUAAAGUACUUUCAGCGGGGAGGCGUUACCCGCAGAAGAAGCACCGGCUAACUCCGUGCCAGCAGCCGCGGUAAUUC
rnacentral:rRNA from 1 species